GAAACUUAAAGCCUUUCUGUUCAAUUUAAAACAUGAUUAGGUUGAUCAUGUUUUAAAUAGAUUGCUUUAUUGAAGUGAUUUUUAUAUAUAUAUAUAUAUAUAUAAAAUUAUUAUUAGUUAUUAAAACACCGUGGUCAGGUCGCCAGUCUAGAAUGACAGAAACGAUAAACCCACGUCCAGCACUCCCACGUCACAAGCUUGCGCAAUGACCACAGAUUACUCGCCUCCUAUUUAAGUCUCCUUUCCGGCACCGCGGGCUAAAGUUACAAACUGCGCUUCUACUUCAGACAUCAUCACAGCCGGUAAGUCACAGGUGCUUUAAUUUGUGCAUGCGCAACAGCGUUCUUUAGCUGUUCUCAGUUCUCAGUACUGUUCUCAGUAAAGUGGUUUAAAAAUAACGCAGGCUGCACUGCACUCUCCGACAGCGGUGUGAAAGCAGCCUGCAGCAGUCGCUGCAAAAACUAUCUGAAGGUUUAUUUGUCAUGCGCUCCCGAUUUUCUCCGUGAAAUAGCUGUUGUUUACACAGGGCUUCAUAACUCAAGACUCCAACUUGGUAAUAGUUCAAUAAAAGCUAAAAUCUGUUAUAUUAGCUACUCAGACUCCAGAAGUAGCUGAAUAAGUAGAUAAAUAUUACACUAAACGUAUUAUUAUUAUUAUUUAAGAGUGCUAUUAUGUGUUUUUGCAAAAUUCAAACGAACAAUAUGCUGAAAUGUCCCCCCUGCAUCAUAUUUUAUUUUGCUCUUUAUGUUUGUUUCAUUCUCCAUAAGAAAUUUAUUCAAGAAAGGACUUUUUUAAAUCUCUUAUCCUCUAAUUUUAAAGAUGGAUAUAUCAGUAAUCACAGAAAUAAAUCACAAGCUGGAAACCUUCAAAGCUGCAAGGAACUUAAGAUCAUUUCCAGAAAGCAUUCAUGAACUAGGAACAAACAUUUAAUCCUAUUAAGUCAAAUUACUGAACAAGGAGUCCAGUCUGUGUACCUUCUAUUGUUUAAGAUCUCUGCUGGUCUUAACGUUCUCCUCCUCGUGCCAGAACCCCUCUGAGCUGACAGGAUGAAUUCACGUGUUCUGAAGAUUAAAGAUGGGAAGUUUGUGAAAGUCCAGAAAUUUUACGAUGGACUCAAGCUGUGUGCUGUUGACUCCCAAACAAGUAAGAAUUUUAACAGCAAAAUCAUUCAGAUUUUUCUAAGUGGCAAUCCAAAAACAGGAAACAGCAUUGUUUACACUGAUAGCUUUAUAUGUGCACUGAUUUAUUGCAUGAAAUGGGUUAUUGUGUCACUAAUAAAGAAGUAAAGUUAAUGUUAUUUUGUUUGGUUUUUUUAGAUGAUCAUACGGUCUACAUAGAGAAACACCGCUCAUACAACUGGAUAGCUUUUAAAUUCAAUCUGAAGCGUGACAAUAUGGUGAAAGACUAUUUCCUAAAGGGGGACAAACACUCCCUUGAGCUGGUUCAGCUGGAUCAGCUGGAUAGUGACUCAGUGGAGUACUGGUUUGAGAAGCACAACCAUGGAGGCAGCGAACACUACAGCCUCAAAACUGCGUGUCAACCGCAGAAAUACGUCUGCAUAUCUCAGAAAUAUCUCAGCCUCAGUGACACCAAGCGGGAUUUGGCUGAAGUCAAAGAUGAGGCAAAGUAGAUGUAUGCAUUCACCAACAGCCUUUUGCACACAUUUACUACAAUCCGCUCUGUCUACAAACUGAAGAGGAAGACAGUUUAUCUUUAGCUAAAUCCAAGCAGAACUCUCUCUUCCUGCUGUGAUUUGAUAAAGUAGCUGGACUAAGUAGAGCUACAAACUGGAGAUUAGUCUGGCUGGCUAAUUUUGUGUUCUUGGUAUAGGGAGAAAAAUGCUUUGGUAGUUGGGUUGGGUGGUAAAAGCAUAAAAUAAAACUUUGCUCUUUUUUUCAUAUUGUAAACUACAGGUGGUGCAAAGGGGUGAGACUACUGGCCAAUCUCAAAGAAACUGUACAAACAUUGUCCAUAUGUUUUUAAAAAGAAUUUAUUACAAAUCCCAAUUCUUUAGAUUUUCGUAUUCAUCGUUCCCCUGUGAUUGCAAUAUACACUCUCUGUUUGUUUCGCAUGCCACGCUCAGCGACAAAGGUUUGUUCUCGGCACCACAACAAACAUAGUGAAGAAUUCGGAAAAAGCACUACACACCACGUUUUUGUACGAUAUGAGUUGUUAGCCCCUAAUAUGAUCAGACACUGUGGCGCCCGAAGUUGGUGUGAAAUUUGUUUUUGUUAUAAGGAAAGUUCCCAGCGACACACCUAAAAUAAAUUUCCUGGUCUCACACUCUGAAAUGUUUGGCUUGAAUAACAAAGGAAACAACUGCAGCAGAAUUUAUCAUGAUAAGAAAGGAAGGGCGGCAAAAGCAUGCAGAGUGGCUGCAGUACACGAGGUUUUUUAGAGGUUUGACGAACCUGGCAAAAAGUUCUUAGUUAUUACUGCCGUCAGUAAUAUGUGGCACACCAAGGAAUGUGGUCUACUAGUGGUUUGUGUUGUUGUUGGGUCUUUUUCCUUCGCUCCUGCAUUUUGUCUUGAGAAGGCUAUAAUCAUAAAAGAUAAACAACUUCUGUUUUAUAAGGUGGAAAAUAAAGUGUAAAAACACCUCUGCUGCCAUGUGUUUGCUUCUCAUUUGUGUUAUUUUAGAACUUUAUGAUCUUACCAGCUUUAAGCAGUUCUUGCCAAAGUGAGUAAAGUGCUCAUUCAUCUUUUUUUAAUGUUUAUUUAUAAGAUUUUAAGUUCGAAGUUACAUAAAAUCACACCAGACAAAGGACACAAGAUUCAAAAACAAUAACAUUCAAGCACAGAAAAAAACAAACAGGAAAACAGGAAAGAAAAGAAAAAAUACACCGAUUAGCCAGUACAAAUCAAAAGUUCAAAGAAAUACCAGUGUCCAAAGAAGAUGAUCUUCUGUGUGAGGUCUGUAUUUGUAUAGCGCUUUACUAGUCCCUAAGGACCCCAAAGCGCUUUACACAUCCAGUCAUCCACCCAUUCACACACUGGUGAUGGCAAGCUACAUUGUAGCCACAGCUGCCCUGGGGCGCACUGACAGAGGCGAGGCUGCCGGACACUGGCGCCACCAGGCCCUCUGACCACCACCAGUAGGCAACAGGUGAAGUGUCUUUCCCAAGGACACAACGACCGAGACUGUCCAAGCCGGGGCUUGAACCGGCAACCUUCCGAUUACAAGGCGAACUCCCAACUCUUGAGCCAUGUUAGACAGGGCAACAGAGAGUUCACCAAGUCCAGAAGAUGUGGGGAACAAGACCAGGAAGGAAUCAGGGUCUGGCAGAAGUGCAGUUUCACACAAACA
ensembl:lncRNA